rfam:Schistosoma haematobium scaffold779_32, whole genome shotgun sequence.
AGCCCUCUAUUUCUGUGUUGAGAUUUCAUCAUACACCAGACCUCAAGGGCUGAUGAUACUCCUAAGAUAAGUGAAGCG